ensembl:miRNA
GUUGGUGCAAAAGUAAUUGCGGUUUUUGCCCUUGAACGUAAUGACAGAAACUGCAAAUACUUUUGUAGCAAU